rnacentral:rRNA from 1 species
GACGAACGCUGGCGGCGUGCCUAAUACAUGCAAGUCGAACGCACGAAGUUGAAGAGCUUGCUCUUUAACCAAGUGAGUGGCGGACGGGUGAGUAACACGUGGGUAACCUGCCCAUUAGAGGGGGAUAACAUUCGGAAACGGAUGCUAAUACCGCAUAGUUUCAGGAAUCGCAUGAUUCUUGAAGGAAAGGUGGCUUCGGCUACCACUAAUGGAUGGACCCGCGGCGUAUUAGCUAGUUGGUGAGGCAAUGGCUCACCAAGGCAAUGAUACGUAGCCGACCUGAGAGGGUGAUCGGCCACACUGGGACUGAGACACGGCCCAGACUCCUACGGGAGGCAGCAGUAGGGAAUCUUCCGCAAUGGACGAAAGUCUGACGGAGCAACGCCGCGUGAGUGAAGAAGGUUUUCGGAUCGUAAAACUCUGUUGUUAAAGAAGAACAAGGAUGAGAGUAACUGCUCAUCCCCUGACGGUAUUUAACCAGAAAGCCACGGCUAACUACGUGCCAGCAGCCGCGGUAAUACGUAGGUGGCAAGCGUUGUCCGGAUUUAUUGGGCGUAAAGCGAGCGCAGGCGGUUCUUUAAGUCUGAUGUGAAAGCCCCCGGCUCAACCGGGGAGGGUCAUUGGAAACUGGAGAACUUGAGUGCAGAAGAGGAGAGUGGAAUUCCACGUGUAGCGGUGAAAUGCGUAGAUAUGUGGAGGAACACCAGUGGCGAAGGCGACUCUCUGGUCUGUAACUGACGCUGAGGCUCGAAAGCGUGGGGAGCAAACAGG